UACGUAGGGGGCAAGCGUUGUCCGGAAUCAUUGGGCGUAAAGCGCGUGUAGGCGGCUCGGUAAGUCCGCUCUGAAAGUCCGGGGCUCAACCCCGGGAGGCGGGUGGAUACUGUCGAGCUCGAGUCCGGAAGAGGCGAGUGGAAUUCCUGGUGUAGCGGUGAAAUGCGCAGAUAUCAGAAGGAACACCGAUGGCGAAGGCAGCUCGCUGGGACGUGACUGACGCUGAGACGCGAAAGCGUGGGGAGCAAACAGG
rnacentral:rRNA from 1 species